rnacentral:rRNA from 1 species
AACGCGAAGAACCUUACCUGGGUUUGACAUCUACCUGCACGGCCCGUGAAAGCGGGCCUCCUUCGAGGGUGGUAGACAGGUGCUGCAUGGCUGUCGUCAGCUCAUGCCGUGAGGUGUCAGGUUAAGUCCUAUAACGAGCGCAACCCCUACGCCCAGUUGCCAGCGGGUGAUGCCGGGAACCCUGUCCACACUGCCCGUUCAUGCGGGAGGAAGGUGGGGAUGACGUCAAGUCAGUAUGGCCCUUACGCCCAGGGCUGCACACGUGCUACAAUGGCCGGUACAGAGGGAUGCCAAGCCGCGAGGCGGAGCGAACCCCUAGAGAGCCGGCCCCAGUUCAGAUCGGGGUCUGCAACCCGACCCCGUGAAGUCGGAUUUGCUAGUAACGGCGCAUCAGCUACGGCGCCGUGAAUGCGUUCCCGGGUCUUGUACACACCGA